UACGAAGGGGGCUAGCGUUGCUCGGAAUCACUGGGCGUAAAGGGUGCGUAGGCGGGUCUUUAAGUCAGGGGUGAAAUCCUGGAGCUCAACUCCAGAACUGCCUUUGAUACUGAAGAUCUUGAGUUCGGGAGAGGUGAGUGGAACUGCGAGUGUAGAGGUGAAAUUCGUAGAUAUUCGCAAGGACACCAGUGGCGAAGGCGGCUCACUGGCCCGAUACUGACGCUGAGGCACGAGAGCGUGGGGAGCAAACAGG
rnacentral:rRNA from 1 species